UACGUAGGGUGCAAGCGUUGUCCGGAAUUAUUGGGCGUAAAGAGCUCGUAGGCGGUUUGUCGCGUCUGGUGUGAAAAUCCAGGGCUUAACCCUGGACCUGCAUCGGGUACGGGCAGACUAGAGUGCGGUAGGGGAGAUCGGAAUUCCUGGUGUAGCGGUGAAAUGCGCAGAUAUCAGGAGGAACACCGGUGGCGAAGGCGGAUCUCUGGGCCGUAACUGACGCUCAGGAGCGAAAGCAUGGGGAGCGAACAGG
rnacentral:rRNA from 1 species